rnacentral:rRNA from 1 species
AUUGAACGCUGGCGGCAUGCUUUACACAUGCAAGUCGAACGGCAGCACGGGCUUCGGCCUGGUGGCGAGUGGCGAACGGGUGAGUAAUAUAUCGGAACGUACCCAGAAGUGGGGGAUAACGUAGCGAAAGUUACGCUAAUACCGCAUACGAUCUAUGGAUGAAAGCAGGGGACCGCAAGGCCUUGUGCUCCUGGAGCGGCCGAUAUCUGAUUAGCUAGUUGGUGAGGUAAAGGCUCACCAAGGCGACGAUCAGUAGCUGGUCUGAGAGGACGACCAGCCACACUGGAACUGAGACACGGUCCAGACUCCUACGGGAGGCAGCAGUGGGGUAUUUUGGACAAUGGGCGCAAGCCUGAUCCAGCAAUGCCGCGUGAGUGAAGAAGGCCUUCGGGUUGUAAAGCUCUUUUGUCAGGGAAGAAACGGUAGAGGCUAAUAUCCUUUGCUAAUGACGGUACCUGAAGAAUAAGCACCGGCUAACUACGUG